rnacentral:lncRNA from 1 species
CAAACCAAAUUUUAUUUUGGGAUUGAAGUUUGUGGGUAACUUCACUGCAAACCCUCACGAGACAACACUCGUCCACUAGGGUAACCUAGGGGUUUAACGGCUUGUUGCACAUGCUAAGUGCGAUCGUAAUGCUCUACGAAAGUGAGUAUUUAUCUUAGUAUAUUUAUAUAAUAAAUAACACUUUUGCACUCUUAUUUUCGCACUAAAUUGCUAGAGACUAGCAAUAAGCUAGUUGGGGGGUGUGAUGAGAGCACAAAAGUGCAAUCAUCGUACCACUAUAAUCAGUAUUAUAGUUAAUU